CCUACGGGAGGCAGCAGUGAGGAAUAUUGGUCAAUGGGCGGAAGCCUGAACCAGCCAAGUCGCGUGAGGGAUUAAGGCCCUGCGGGUCGUAAACCUCUUUUGCCGGGGAGCAGUGGUCCGGCCGCGUCCGGACCGGGAGAGUACCCGGAGAAAAAGCAUCGGCUAACUCCGUGCCAGACGCCGCGGUAUUAAGGGGGAUGCGAGCGUUCUCCGGAUUUAUUUGGUUUAAAGGGGGCGUAGGCGGGCUGUUAAGCCGCCGGUCAAAUGGCGGGGCUCAACCCCGGCCUGCCGUCGGAACUGGGUGCCUUGAGUGGGCGAGAAGUAUGCGGAAUGCGGGGUGUAGCGGUGAAAUGCAUAGAUAUCACGCAGAACCCCGAUUGCGAAGGCAGCAUACCGGCGCCCUACUGACGCUGAGGCACGAAAGUGCGGGUAUCGAACAGGAUUAGAUACCCGAGUAGUC
rnacentral:rRNA from 1 species